AACGAACGCUGGCGGCAUGCCUAACACAUGCAAGUCGAACGAGACCUUCGGGUCUAGUGGCGCACGGGUGCGUAACGCGUGGGAACCUGCCCUUAGGUUCGGAAUAACCCCCCGAAAGGGGUGCUAAUACCGGAUAAUGUCUUCGGACCAAAGAUUUAUCGCCUUUGGAUGGGCCCGCGUUGGAUUAGCUAGUUGGUAGGGUAAAGCCUACCAAGGCGACGAUCCAUAGCUGGUCUGAGAGGAUGAUCAGCCACACUGGGACUGAGACACGGCCCAGACUCCUACGGGAGGCAGCAGUGGGGAAUAUUGGACAAUGGGCGAAAGCCUGAUCCAGCAAUGCCGCGUGAGUGAUGAAGGCCUUAGGGUUGUAAAGCUCUUUUACCCGGGAUGAUAAUGACAGUACCGGGAGAAUAAACUCCGGCUAACUCCGU
rnacentral:rRNA from 1 species